CUGUAAAUUCCACUCUGCUGCAGUCGCCAGACCGCGGCCGGUUUGUUAGUCUUGUCAUUACUUUCGAACUGUUCUGUUUGGUGUUUUUGUAGAUUUUUUUUCGCUUUGCUCGACUUUUAUUAGUUUGGUGAAUUCGACUCAGUAUUUAAAUUGUUUGAUAUAUUUUUUAAUUAAUUAACACAUAAAUGUCGAAAAUUUUAUAUAAAAAAAAAAAUAAUACAUUGUAUUGAGUGCAGUGUGCGGGCGAUUGUCCAUUUUGCUGGAAGUCUAACUUCAAAUAUUUCAAAGAAGUAUUACUAAAAACAUCAAAACCGUCACCGUUGCAUAUGGCGGGCGUCAAUAACGUAAGUACAUAUGAUAAUGCACCAGAAAAUUCCAAUAACACAGUUGAGCAAACUAACAAGGCUAAUAAUUCAGACGAUAAAGAUGAUUCGUUGCAGAACGUCAUUGACAAUGAGCUGUCCAAACGUUUUAACGAAAGUGAAACUCCAGCCAAUCGUGUUAAAUACAGUGUAGACAUAAUGCUAACUGCAGAAUCAAUUCAUAGUGACAGUAUUAGACAGUCCAAUGACGUGGAAUACGUAGACCUCAAGUCUUUACAAUCAAAUGAAUACCAAGUCCAAAAAGACACUAGUGAGCUUUUUCUAUUGACAGAAAAACAACAUACAGAAGAGACAAGUGAUACGGGUCUCGGUUCUGAAAUCGUUUUAGAACUGGAGCAAGAUAUCGAUAAUGAUGGUCCACUAUCUGAUACUAUGAGUAGUGGAUUCGAAGAAGAUGGUAUCCUAAAAGAGGUUGUGGACCAAGAUCCUUCUCGUGCAGAAUUAGAGGAACCUCGUAUUUUUACUAGACCCUUACCGGUUGACGAGGCGGAUAAUGUAACUGAAUUGGUAUUUGAUACUUGGACCACGGUUGAUGAGAUGGUUGGAUUAGAAAUCAAAAAAAACGAAUCAAAUGGUUUUGAAGAAAAUUCAGCCAUUGAAAUCAGUACUGCUAGUCUUAACCAAGAGUGUUUUGAUAUUAAUACACCAGUCAUAACUAACAGUGUUACCGAGGUAGUGUCGGAAACGACAACCGAACGCAGAACAGUAAAGAAAAAGUCGUCUGCAGCCAGUGGUGAGGCAUCUACCACGGUUGUCAAAACCAAAAAGACCAAAAAGUCGAAAAAAUCUGACGAGAAAGAAAAUAUUUCCGUAAAUUUAAAUGGCCAUUUGACAAAUGAAAUGAAAUAUGGUCAAUGUGACGAUUAUAUUGUCGAAGAAGAUGAUUUAUCUAACGUAUGCGUUCGAGACCUUAAAAAAUCCUAUUGCGAUGAAGCUAGUCGAAAGUCUUCCUCCGUUAUUAUACCAGAGGAACCUGUACCCGCUUCUAUUCCUGUAGAUGAAUUGAAACGAAAUUUUGUUGGUGCCAUCAAGAAACAACCAUCCGGAUGUGAAAACGGAAUGAUAAACGGUUGUUCGAAAUCGAGUUUUGGAAAAUUUGAUCAGUUGGAAAAAAAAAUUAUCCUUCAACAAAGAUCUCCUACAGAAUCUGAAAAAAUCGACACUAAACAAAAUGGUGUUAUACGUCCGGAAGUUAAUUCUGUAUGUAAAUCAUGUGAAAAGACUGUGUAUGCUAUGGAACAAAUAAAGGCGGAACGCCAAGUUUGGCACAAGAACUGUUUCCGGUGCACAACAUGCAAUAAACAGUUGACACUCGAUAUUUAUAGUAGCCACGAAGGUAUAUUGUACUGUAAACCGCAUUUCAAGGAGUUAUUUAAGCCUAAAGUAGUAGUUGAAGACGAAGAACCAAUUAGACGCAAGAAACCAGAAAUGAUAAUACGUGAAAAUCAACCCUUGGAAUUACCACCAGACGUGGUUAGAGCAAGUGAUAAACCGGAUUUGGGUUUAGAAGAAUUGAGCUCUUUAAAUGUAAAAUCCCGUUUUCAAGCUUUUGAAAACGCUACCACCAAUGGUAACAGUCACAUGGAAAAAUCUCCUGUCAGUGUUAAACGUUCACCAAGUAUAUUGAGUAAAUUAGCUAAAUUUCAAUCUAAAGGAAUGGAUGUUGGAGUUGCCAAUGAUGAUCUGAACGGCGCAUUCUUUGAGCCCUCGUCAAGCAGUGAAGAUGAAGAUGAAGAUCCUGGGAAUGAUGUGUUAAAGAAUAGUAUUUCUAAAGAAAAACCAAUAAGUUUUGACAAGAUGGAGUCCGUUAAACGUAACUGGGAAAUGCGCCGCGAAGAAAUGAAAGAGGAACAUAAACAAGAAAUUCAAAACAUAAGGUCUAAAUUAUUUGCGGGAAAGCAAGGAAAAAUGAAACAAAUGUAUGAACAGGCUGUAGCUGAAAGUGAACGUACUGGUAUUAAACGAGAUAUCAAUAUUAACAAGUCUGACAAAGCUAAAGUAAUUAAAGAAAAGUUUGAAAGGGGUGAAAUAAUAAAUGCUGAAAAUAGUGAUGUUGACGAAAACAAUGUGAAUGGAUCAGUAAAUGAUGAUGAAGAUGAAAUGAGUGUUUUCGAAGCUGGAAUCUCUAAGAAAUCUCGAAGUCUAUUCAUGGAAUUGGAUGCUAAUGCUGUUAAGACUAAACAGGCUGCUCCAAUUGUGAAUACAAAGAAAGAGUAUAUUCCUAUAAAACAGGUUACACCAGUAUACAGUCGUCAAGUGUCUGAUGAUGUGGUCAAAUGCAGUGACCGCAUCGAGGACGUUUCAGUGGAAACAGCUGAAGUUUCUUCAAAGUUUAAAUUCUUUGAAACAUACAAGCCUCCUGUUGUCAUUAAGAAACAGUUCCGAAUUACACCCCCACGAGAAGGCCAAAUUAAGGGAGAAUCUCCAGAACGUGAUAUUUAUCGCGAUCCAAAUGUGGUCCGCAGUGAAGACCCAAUUGAUGAGACAGCGGAACUAGUCAAAAGUAAUACGACCGCUAAGAUGUUGUCCUUGUUUAGACAAAUGGAAGUUGCCAGACCAGCUGUACCUGAAGGUCUCAAACCACUUAAACGCUUUACUCCUCCACCACCAGACCUUAAAGAAUCGGAAACAGAAUCAGAGUCUGAUGACGAUGUGAGUGGUGAAGAUGACAGUGAUGAAGAAGAGUCUUCAAGUAGUGAAACCAAUGGUGAUGUUGUAAAAUCAUCUCUAAAAGUGGAAGAUGAAUUUUUGAAAAAUUCUCAAAGCGCAGUAAUGGCCAAGUCAUUGAAAGAUAAAUUUGAACAUUGGGAACCAGACAAGCAUUCAAUGAAUAAUGCUGUUACAAUGCUUGAUUCAGAACAAGAAAGCAUUGAAUCGACCAAAUCCUUGCGUGCUCGUUUUGAAUCUCUGAAAGGUGAUCGUCCAGCUGAUAAGCCCAAACCAAAAGUUAACAGAUUCGUGGCCAAUGCUAAUAUGUCGACAGUCGGACGAAAAAAAGACAUUUAUUGGGACUUUUUUUACUAACGUCUGACAUGGUGACAUAGACACAAAAAUUAUUAUUCUUAAUCGAUUAUUAUUAGGUAAAUGACAUGAAAAUUUCUGGAUUAUUGGAAGUCCAGUUUAUGUGGUAAACUAAUAACUGAAGCUCUGUACACCCCAUGGACUUCGUUAGUGUACAUACAAAUAUAAAUUAAAAAAAUUACUUGAAACUACAUAUACGUAUAUUAUCUAACAUAAAUAUUAUUUGUUUGGAUUUAAUUUUAUACUCUUCUAAAAACAAUAAUAAUAUAGGCACAUAAUCAAAAAUAUUGUAUAAUUUAUUUGAAAAUAAAAGUUACUUAGUAAGUAAAAAAAAAAAUUAACGCAAUAUUCUUGUUCAAUUUUAUAUUUAAUUUUUCUGUUUUGAAGUGAUAUUCGAAUACACUUUUAAAUUCAUUUCGGUAUCACAUUUUUGUUAUGUUUACAAUUAUAAGUUUAUCCUAUCGCUGGAUUUUGAAUGUUUUUUUUUUUUUUGUAUAAAUCUUUAUCUUCAAUUGUCGUUUUAGUUUUGUGUAAAUUACAUUCUCUCUUGGCCCUUGCCAACAUUUUACAGAUAAGUGGAACAUAAAUAGUAACGAUUUUUCCCGUUUUAAGUUUUAAAACAAAUGAAAAAAAUAGUGAUACAUCGCUAAUAUUGUUGCGAAGUGAUUGAAUUUUAAAUUUUAGAAGGAGAACAUAACUUAUUAUUAUCGUUAUAUACUUGUGAAUUUUUUUUAGUUUUAAAUCCAUACAUGAAUAUAUGAACAUAAUUAUUA
rnacentral:misc_RNA from 1 species